ensembl:lncRNA
UAUAUUGCAUUGUCCACUGAUGUUCACAACCUGGUAGAAAAACUGAAUAAUAACUAUCAGAAAGUUUGUCUCUCUCAGCUUUUCCCCUCCACAAAGCCACUAAAACCAAGGACUCUCUGGGAGGCCGCGCGUGUUCCAGCCCCCAGACUGUACUGGCAGUGACGAAGAACCAGCAUCCUCACAGACGGACAACCUCAGUGGAUUCAUGCCAGCAGGGUUAAGACCAGCCCAAUCGGACCAUCUCAGGCGUCGGAUCAAGCAGAUGACAUCUCCGGCGAGCCAGCGCCCGGAACUAGAGCAAAUAAACACACGGGUAGAUGACAUCUCCGGCGAGCCAGCGCCAGGAUCCAAUUUACACACACACACAAUCACUGAUUAACACACAACGUCUGAAAGAACAACGACAAGGUACUCAAACAUCCAGCAGGAACAGAAAGCUAAAAGUACCACAUGAUGUCUAACCUGAUAAAGCCAGACUCAUUCCAUCCUGAUAAUGGAGAAAAUGAAAUGCCCAUUGUCAUCAUACGACGCUUAUUCUAUGUCUCUCGAACCUGGGACCAGGCCAGGAGACAACUGAAGAACUGUUUUUCUUAUAUAUUGUCUUAUAUAUUUAGGUUAUUAAUCAUAUCUAUCGCAUUAACCUUAGGAUUUUUAUUUACUAUUUCAUAUUGUAAAGUGCAACCCUGUUCACAUUUCUGCAAGCCACAUUUUCAAUGAUAACCCAUAUAGCUACCAGUACAGCCACUUCAAUGUAUUUGCAAUUAGCAAAAAUUGAUCCUGAGGAUGUGCCAGAUGUUACCAAUGAUGUUCCUGAUGUGUAUAUUGAACAUUAGGUUGUGAACUAUUACAUUUUAUGAUUUGCUUUUUAUAUUAUGUUAUUACAUUUGUGAUUUUUCCUUUCUAUUUGAGUUAUUAUUUUUUAAAAAAUAAUAAAAGAGGGGAACUGUUAUGAUAUUUUGAUACCACGGUAAGCAUUUACAGGAUAUUGUUUUAUACAGGAAAACUGUUACUCAAUAAGGCCGAUCUACUAGUUGUUUUUCUCUUUCUCUGUGACCCAAGAAUUAAUGUGAGACUCACAAGCUGGUACCUCAAGGUCGAAAACACCACAGAGAUGAGACCACUUCCUUACUCCCAUCCUCCCUUUUCUUUAUCUCCUGGAAAAGGCUCGUUAAAGGCUAGGUGGUUCGUUUCAGAAUUCACUGAUGAAAGAACUCUGUAUUCUAUGUCUAGGAGUGUAUUUUGCUGGGAUGAUCAUAAAUUGUAGCUGAACUGAUAAACUACACAAGGGAUACUUUGCUCAGAAGGCAGGAAGACGUUUCCUUAUUUGGUCUGUACCGGUUUGAACUGGGAAAGCUGACACACGAACCUUUUUUCAUCUAUAUAAACUGCUGUGUAUCAAAUAAACCUUUGAGUCGAUUGGGAAG